GGAAAAGAAAUCAACCGAGAUUCCCCCAGUAGCGGCGAGCGAACGGGGAGGAGCCCAGAGCCUGAAUCAGCAUGUGUGUUAGUGGAAGCGUCUGGAAAGGUGCGCGAUACAGGGUGACAGCCCCGUACACAAAAGCGCAUGUGCUGUGAGCUCGAUGAGUAGGGCGGGACACGUGGUAUCCUGUCUGAAUAUGGGGGGACC
rnacentral:rRNA from 1 species